UUGUAGAAGAUUUUAUGAGAAGAAAUCAUUAGAAAAUUGAAAACCAGUUCCUGCCAAUACAAUAUCAAGUGCUGAUUUGUGGUAAACUCAUCCAAUGUAAAUGGGGUAUUUUGAUCUUUCAAAAAAAAAAGGAAAAAAUGAAGAAGGAAAACGCGGAUUAUAAGGCCAUAAUGAUCCCGCUUUGACACGCACUAUGUGGAUUGCCAGACUAAAUGUCCAUUGGGUCCAAAAUCAGGAAAGUAAAAUGAAAUGGUUACUAUCAGAGUGUGUGCAUGGCCUAUUCUCCAUCAUUGAUGAGGCUGAAGAUUUUUACAGUCUAGAUUGCUUUCAUUUAUGUUAUGUGUUUCUUGUAUGAGUCACCAUCUUUCAGUACUUUACAGUAAACAUGAAUUGAAUGUCCAUCAGACAAUGCAUUGUGAAGGAUUCAAAUCAUAUUCAUUUAACAAUGAUAACUCGAGUGCAAUACAAGAAGGAUUUUGUGAUCUUCUUUUAAAAUUUGCAGUGCUGAAUUUCCUUACUUGGCAUCCCUGUUAUCAUCAAGAUCUGCCACUCGAAGACCACCAAGAGUAGAGCUACUUUGUGUAAAACAUGAAUUGAAUUUUCCGAAACCCAUGUUUCCUCUCUGUUGAAACAAGUAGGAGUAUUUCUACAGCGGCAGAGUCUUGUUUGGUUGAGAUUGAUCUUUUCUUGGGGUUGAUGGGGUGGAUCUAUCGAAUCCUAAGAGAAAUGGUAGUUUUGCGCAAUAGACGACCGUUAGUCAAUCUCUUGUAGUUAAUCAUGUUUGGCAGAGCUGCAUGUAGGUUUAUUCUUAGGAGAUUUGAGGAUACAAAUAUUUGAUGAAAGCACAUCAAGGAGAACAUGCAUUUCCCCCCAUUGUUGGCUAACCUGGCCAAUCAAGAGGAAGCAAGAUGCAUUAGAAAUUUUCAUCUCUCAUGGAUAAGCUCUACUCAACAAACCUACCCAAGAUCAUGAUAUGGCAUUCAGAAUCCUCUAGACUCAUAAAAUUUAGACUGGGAACAUAGUAAGAUAGAGGUUCUAGAAAUACACAGAUUGCAAUCACUUAAGACUACCUUGAUCUUUCUAUGAUUAUAUCAAUAUUAUCUGUUACAGGAAAAUGAUGGGGCUUAAGACUAAUAAAAGUUAUAAAUCAUAGUUCUCAAGAAGUUUUGCCAUGGAGGCCUGUCCCUUUGGUCACACCAUUUUUGGUGAUCCUGACUUUUCAUCUAGCAGGGCCCACCAUGUAUGGCUACAUGACUAAAAUGUUGCUGCUGCCAAUCCACUUAUAUGAUGCCCUCAGCAUCGAUAGGGCGGACACACACCAAAACAUAAAUUUAUAUUUAGAUAUUUGAACCCCUUGGGAUAGAAAUUUCUGCCGGGAGAAUUCAUAACAGGGAAGUUCCAUGAGGAGAGAAAUGAGAGUCUCGAGAGAAAGGGGUAAAUCUAAGGGAGGGAGGGGGAGAGUCUCAAGAGAAAGGGGGAAAUCUAGGGGAGGAAGACACCAUUCGAUUGGAGAUAGGGAGCAUUUCAUUGCUGGAAAGAGGAAGGUCACUUGGACUCCUAUCGUUGGAAGGAAGACAUCACGCUUCAGGAUUCUUAUAGUCUCUUCGUCAACAACCUGCCUUCUGCUUUCUCGGAGGGGGAAGUGCAAGAUAUCUUCGGCAAGUAUGGUGUAAUCACGGAUGUUCUCAUCCCCAAACAUCCAGAUUUGAAUAGACCGAGGGAUUUCACCUUCCUCAGAUUCCUUUAUGAGGACGAAGCGAAUGCGUCAAAGGGAGUGCUGGAUGGGAGGAGAAUUGAUGGUAGGAUUGUAACGGUGAAGGAAACCAAUCCGUAGCAAUCUCAGAAGCUCGGUCUCAGGAGCGAGGUGAUGCCAGAUCAGAAACAGGGGAUUCUGUGUUGAUUCAUCAUAAGACCGGGGUUUUGAUCUUGGUGGACGGGAAGAUCGUUACACCAAUCUAUGAAGCCUUCUAAGCUGGAGGCCUGGUCACCAGCUAUUGUGGUGGGUAGUCAAGCGAUCUGGAUUCGGAUCUUUGGUGUUUCAGUCCACGCUUGGGACGAGGCAGUACUCCUGGAGAUCACAUCAAAAUUUGGGCAUGUUAUUUCCAGGUUGAUUGUUCUUUGAGUUCGGGAGAUCAGAGCAGGAUGCAGCAGCUGAUGGGGACCAAGGAGUGGGUUGAACGCUCCUAUCAGAAUGGUUCACCCGAGCCCCUUGUCAGAAAUGGGUUUAGCAAUCUCCUCCAGCUGGAUAUCCAGGAGGGAAACGAGGCUUGCAGUGGCCCAUCAGAUCUUUGUGUAAAGUCCAGUGAGAAAUCAGAUUAGCUUCCACCGGUCAGGCUUUGGAAUCUACCAAGGAUGGAGCUGCAGCGUCACUGGAGGAUCCCCACUGGAGAAGCAGUGAUCAGGCCAGAAAUUGCUCCAUUUAAAUCGAAUGACAGUGGCAGAGCUGGAGAUGCAGGGGUUGGUGUGACUUUCUGUGUGUGUGUCGCGCUCUCUCCGAUGCUCUCAGAGCACUAUAAAUUAUAGUGCCCUAGUUGCAUUGGGACACUUGGAUAGUCCAAUCCAUUGAUCUAGACUUUUCAGUAGGUCCAACUUAUAUUUCAUGGGCAACCAUGAAAACAUCACUCUGGUUUGACAAAUAUGAAUCAUUUGAUCAAUGAUCUUAAACAUGGGUGGUUGAGAUCAUUUAUAGUGUUCUAAGAGCACUUGUGCAUUUCUCAAUACUUUUAUCACACAUACAUAGAACACAUGAAGUGGAGUAUUUUCUUGACCCUGAUUGGUCUGCAUUGAGAUGUUCAAAUUCUUUUAUCCCAAGCACAGUAUCUUCCUGUCUAAUCUUUCCCAUCUCUUUGAGCUUUCAUAUAUGACAAACUAGGCACACUUGAAAUG